rnacentral:tRNA from 1 species
GAAGUAAAUUAAAAUGAACUUCUAAUUCAUUAAAUAUGAUAAUAAAUCAUAUUACUUCU